ACCUAGUCUGCUGUAAAACUCCAUGAAGAAGAAGAAGAAGCUAAGCAGAAGUUUAGGUUUUCCUCCUUGUUUUGGAGGGGAAAUGGCUUCCUCUUUUUCUAAAGUCUUAAGAGAGCCAGAGAUAUGUUUUGGCCUUCACACUCAUCUCCAUGCUACUCUGUUUAAACUUUUAACAACAGUGCACAAAAAGCAAAGCUUCAUAUCUGGACUGACAGACUGCUCUGCUACUUCUUUACUGAAAUGUACUUUAAGGAAACUAAGUAGACUGUGGCUGGCGCAGUAUGUAUGAUUUUGGCACAAUUGGCGGCAAUCAUUCCCACCCGGUGGAAAAUACUGAUGGAUGCAGGUCGACCUCUCGGGCUCCCUGGCGCUCUCUCACACAGAGACAGAACAGGGAGAGGAAGAAGAGUGGAGCCUUGUCUUGUGUAGUAAUAUAUCUCUGCAAGGUUUUAAAUCACUGUGGUUGGCUUUGAUUCAGUUGUAAAGAUAAAGUUAAG